rnacentral:rRNA from 1 species
CUACGGGAGGCAGCAGUGGGGAAUUUUGGACAAUGGGCGCAAGCCUGAUCCAGCAAUGCCGCGUGCAGGAUGAAGGCCUUCGGGUUGUAAACUGCUUUUGUACGGAGCGAAAAGGCUUCUUCUAAUACAGGAGGCUCAUGACGGUACCGUAAGAAUAAGCACCGGCUAACUACGUGCCAGCAGCCGCGGUAAUACGUAGGGUGCAAGCGUUAAUCGGAAUUACUGGGCGUAAAGCGUGCGCAGGCGGUUAUGUAAGACAGACGUGAAAUCCCCGGGCUCAACCUGGGAACUGCGUUUGUGACUGCAUAGCUAGAGUACGGUAGAGGGGGGUGGAAUUCCGCGUGUAGCAGUGAAAUGCGUAGAUAUGCGGAGGAACACCGAUGGCGAAGGCAGCCCCCUGGACCUGUACUGACGCUCAUGCACGAAAGCAUGGGGAGCAAACAGGAUUAGAUACCCCGGUAGC